rnacentral:misc_RNA from 1 species
CCCAAAGGUUCCCUCAGAAUGGUUGGAAAUCAUUCGAAGAGUGUAAAGGCAGAAGGGAGCUUGACUGCGAGACCUACAAGUCGAGCAGGGACGAAAGUCGGGCUUAGU